rnacentral:misc_RNA from 1 species
AAGUCGUAACAAGGUUUCCGUAGGUGAACCUGCGGAAGGAUCAUUACUAAAGUAAUUCAUUUACUUGCCCAAACCGUGAACUGUUUUCCCCUCUCGAUUAGGCCAUGGGUACGGACUAAUUGAGAGGCCCCCUUUUUACUUAACCUUUGACUAUAUAAUUUUACUACUAGUGGGGAGUUAACAUAUACAACUUUCAGCAACGGAUCUCUAGGCUCUU